ensembl:lncRNA
UGAAAGCACACGCAUUUCAUUCACAAAGGUUUUCUGGGACCGGCUGACCGGCUCUUUCUCAGCCUAAACAGAGUCACGCACAGGCUGGCCCCGAUGCUCCCACGCUGCUUCCAGAGUGGAGGCGAUGGCUUUGAAAGCUCUGCAGAGCUACAGCCUCCGUGGAUGGCAGCCAUGAGCAGGACUGGGAGUAAUUAGCAGUUGAAGAGCAUGUUCCUUUGCGAAGCGAGCUUUCCUGCCAGCUACGACCCUUGAGGAGCAUGAGGGAAGGAGCACAGGCUGUCCCACGCCUACUUGUUUUCUUUCCCUUCAGCAGGACAGUUUCAACUGACUUUGAUUACCCUGGCGCCAAAUAAAUGAAAACAUUUCAUAGACAUAUAAUCAUCCAUCACUGUGAAGAAAGGAAAAAUGUUUCAUGUUCAGUAUGUUUAUAAAUAUGCUUAAUGAAAAAAGGAUAGUGCUGUCUUUCCUUCACUACAUCGCUGCUGCUGUUGGCCAGAUAGGCUUGCUCUCGGAUCAGCCCUGGAGCCCACGCCACCCUGCGCUCAAACAUUUCAGCCCAACAGCAGGAUGGCGCUCAAAGUAAGUCAAGAGGAAGGAUCUGAUUCUCCAAGGCCACCUUCAAUCUCUAGUCCUUCUCCCAAGACAGGAAGGGGACGUGGAGCAGGAAAAGGAGUGCCACAAGAGGGGGGAAAUCCAUCCAUUCAAACCCUCCAAAGUACCCUGUUACCAGUAUCCUCAUCAGAGACUCUUUCUCACUUCAACAAGGGCCACAGAAUCAUCCCUGGCAGCAGUAAAGAGGAAAGGCCCUUUACACUGUGACCUGACAACAUCCGGGACAGGAAAUGUUGUGACUUCAUUUAUUCUAGCAGCUUGUUAAUCCUCCAAGCAGAAGCAAACGCAGGGGUCGGAAGUUUUGUGUACCACCCACUUUUGGUGUGGGAGCCACCCGGGGCGGGAACAAAUGUCAGCUCUUCCUGAAGGUGAAGAUUACAGCGGUGUGUUUAAAACCUCUGCAUUUCGAGCGGGCUCCUGUGGUACCUUGUACACGAGGUAGGACCUUCUCUGAUUCUCAGGAUGCAUCAGAUCCAGUCUUGGAGUAAAUGCAGAAAAAUGUUUAUCAGGAUUUACAGAUUCUCUGUGUGUGCUAUUUAGAAUCUGUCAAUGACUGGACUGGCAGGAGGACUUUCCAAUCUUGACUGGAAUAAUAGCACUACAGGUUCACAUACGCACUGAAAUUUAUAAUUUGCAAAGCAAUUCAGUGUGCAUUACCCCAUUGGAUUCUCACAACAACCUUGAGAAGAUGCAAAAAUGUGAUUAAGAACAUGACAUGACUAGUUUGCGAUGAAGUAUCUGUGGAAAGGGCAGGGACCCCGAACCAGCUGCUCUGCCCUUUCUCCUCUUCCCACUUCAUGACAUCACUUCUGAUUCAUCUUUAUUUAUUCUAGUUGUGGCAGAGUGGUUUCAAAAAUGGCCCCAAUUCUUCAACCACUCCUUGUAUACUCAUCCUGUAUAAUGUGAAUUUGUAGCUUUUCCCAUCAAGAGAUGCAGUCCAUUUCUCCACCCCUUGAAUAGGGGCUGGGCUUGUGACUUGCUUUGGCCAAUGGAAUGCAGUAGAAGUGACAACGUGCCAGGUCCAAGCUUAGACUUCAAGAGACUGUAUGCAUUUCUGCUCGUUCUCUCUGUCACCUUGUAAGAACCUGGCUGGGCUGGCAUCCUGGAGGAUGAGAGACCACAUGGGAGAGAGCCUGGCUGUCCCAGCUCAAGCUAUCCUAGACUAGCCAACACCUAACAUAUGAGAAAUCUCAGCCAAGGACAGCAGUUUCCCACCCAACCUGCAACUGACAGAAGAUGCCCGAGUGAGCCCAGCCGAGGCCAGAAGAAUUGCCCAGCUGACUCGUAGAUCCAAGAAUAGUAAUAAAUGCUCAUUGGUAAAUGUACUCAGGACUUCUGGAUGUUUUCAAUUCAGCAUGAUUAUGGCAAUAGAUAGCUGAUGUACUAGUCCACAAAAAAGGAUGGAUCCCUACCACUUUCUCAGUUCUAAAUGUACCAAAGCAAUGAGUGAGCUAUGCCCUUUGCACUCCAAAUUGUGCAGUCUGUCAGGAAAGAUAAGGUGUGG